GAUACUGCAACAACAUACGAUGACGUAACACGUGAGAGAUUGCUGUUUCAGCACGUCGAUGACAUCGAUGAAAAAUAUAAUUGAUCUGACAUCAGAGAGGAGGAUUCGACCCAAGGUUUCCAAGAUUUCUCUGAAAGAUCCAAGUAAUUUGCGAUAAAGGUACGAUUAGAUUGUCGUGUUUUUCUAGGUCAAGAUUCAUUUAAAGGUUGUUCGUUCUGUCGGUGAUUGCUAAUUAUUCUGGGAAAUCCAUGGAGAAGAAAGUUGCAGACUUUUAAGAACAACUAACAUUGCUCCAGCCAAACCUGUAAUCGAAUGGUGAAGAAGGGACACAGAAGGGACAUGGGCCAUAGUGCGGUGUCCAUAAAUAUUUCUUUUUACGAGUGGAGGAAGGUCGGUAGACUAGAGAAGCUAUUACCAAUGUAGACUCUAGUCUGUCUAGGUGGUCGGUACCUAGGCUCGCCAUUCCGCUUCGCGCGGGUACAUACGCAGGGUCAACGGCCACUCGCGACCCUCAACCUAUUCGCUCGUUCAUAUCCCUCGAGCGUGUGCCGCAAUCACUAUACUCGACGCGCGGACUUCUUUGUCCGAUUGCACGGGAUCAUUUUUCAUUUUUUUUUCCCCCUUGCUAAUUCCAGGAGGUUCUCCUGGUUCCUGGAUUAAUACCACCACGGUGCCAGGAUGGUGGGUUUCUUGCGGGAUUAAAACCAACGGAAACGGAAAAAGGAAAUCUUGGAGAAACGGUACCUCGAACAUGAACGGAUUAAAAUAGAAAUCAAACGAACGAGUUUGUUUAAUAAUUCCACGCUUAAAGAUAUCCCGUUAUCCGUAACAUCUUAAUCGAUUUCUUGCGCAGCAAUUUGUCAUAAUCUUGCGUCAGACUAAACAAGAACCGUUCUUGUUAAUACCGCUUCAUGUGGCUAUUUUUUCUAUCCUCUUGUAAUUCAUCAAUGUCCAUAAGGAAAUAUUAAAGCCCGUAUCGAAUCAUAA